UCAUCUGACAUAACCACCGUGCUCCAUGUCAUGGACUCUCAUUCCUUAACCUGAAACGAAAUGUCGGACCAUGACACUCAACAUGUUCCCCCCUUAGAAUUGAGAACUCAUACUGAUAAUUGUCUAGUUAAAGGCUGUGAAAUUCCAAUAGGGGCUUCAUCUAUUCCAUCCUUGCUACUCACAAAGAAAUCAAUUGGCCUCCUCCUUCCCCCACUUUUCUUCUUCAUAGAAACUUGCUUUCCUUUGCUACUGUCGACUUCCUCUUCUCCCCACCAAAAAAAAAAACUCAGAAAUAUGAAAAAUCAAAGAAAAAUAAUCUCAAAUCAAAGUUUGAAAAUUUUAACCAUAAAAAAUCAUCUCUGAUAAUUUGAAUGGAACAAAAGAGUAUAAUAAAU
rnacentral:lncRNA from 1 species